rnacentral:rRNA from 1 species
GUCGAGCGGUAACAGANAGUANCUUGCUACUUUGCUGACGAGCGGCGGACGGGUGAGUAAUGCUUGGGANCNUGCCUUGAGGUGGGGGACAACAGUUGGAAACGACUGCUAAUACCGCAUAAUGUCUACGGACCAAAGGGGGCUUCGGCUCUCGCCUUUAGAUUGGCCCAAGUGGGAUUAGCUAGUUGGUGAGGUAAUGGCUCACCAAGGCGACGAUCCCUAGCUGGUUUGAGAGGAUGAUCAGCCACACUGGGACUGAGACACGGCCCAGACUCCUACGGGAGGCAGCAGUGGGGAAUAUUGCACAAUGGGCGCAAGCCUGAUGCAGCCAUGCCGCGUGUGUGAAGAAGGCCUUCGGGUUGUAAAGCACUUUCAGUCAGGAGGAAAGGUUAGUAGUUAAUACCUGCUAGCUGUGACGUUACUGACAGAAGAAGCACCGGCUAACUCCGUGCCAGCAGCCGCGGUAAUACGGAGGGUGCGAGCGUUAAUCGGAAUUACUGGGCGUAAAGCGUACGCAGGCGGUUUGUUAAGCGAGAUGUGAAAGCCCCGGGCUCAACCUGGGAACUGCAUUUCGAACUGGCAAACUAGAGUGUGAUAGAGGGUGGUAGAAUUUCAGGUGUAGCGGUGAAAUGCGUAGAGAUCUGAANGAAUACCGAUGGCGAAGGCAGCCACCUGGGUCAACACUGACGCUCAUGUACGAANGCGUGGGGAGCAAACNGNAUUANAUACCCUGGNAGUCCACGCCGUAAACGAUGUCUACUANAA